rnacentral:rRNA from 1 species
UACGGGGGGAGCAAGCGUUGUUCGGAUUUACUGGGCGUAAAGGGCGCGUAGGCGGCCACCGCAAGUCGGUUGUGAAAUCUCUGGGCUUAACCCAGAAAGGUCAACCGAUACUGCGGGGCUAGAGUGCAGAAGGGGCAACUGGAAUUCUCGGUGUAGCGGUGAAAUGCGUAGAUAUCGAGAGGAACACCUGCGGCGAAGGCGGGUUGCUGGGCUGACACUGACGCUGAUGCGCGAAAGCGUGGGGAGCGAACAGG